CCAAAGAGCUGGACAAAUCUUUCUAACUCAUUCUGAGUAGAAGAGUUAAGCUUAAACAACUUAGUCUUUAGCUUGUCUUAAAGUGGAUAAGGACUCUGUGGAUAGGACGGAGUUAGUUAGAUUGUUUCACCACUGGGGACAACAGAGGAGCAGAGU